GCAGGUGUAGUUUAAUGGUAGAAUAAUAGCCUUCCAAGCUACUGACGUGAGUUCGAUUCUCAUCACCUGCU
rfam:Clostridium sp. CAG:609 genomic scaffold, scf24